rnacentral:rRNA from 1 species
UGGGGAAUAUUGCACAAUGGGGGAAACCCUGAUGCAGCGACGCCGCGUGAACGAAGAAGGUAUUCGUAUCGUAAAGUUCUGUCCUAUGGGAAGAUAAUGACAGUACCAUAGAAGAAAGCUCCGGCUAAAUACGUGCCAGCAGCCGCGGUAAUACGUAUGGAGCGAGCGUUGUCCGGAAUUAUUGGGCGUAAAGGGUACGCAGGCGGUUUAAUAAGUCGAAUGUUAAAGAUCGGGGCUCAACCCCGUAAAGCAUUGGAAACUGAUAAACAUGAGUAGUGGAGAGGAAAGUGGAAUUCCUAGUGUAGUGGUGAAAUACGUAGAUAUUAGGAGGAAUACCAGUAGCGAAGGCGACUUUCUGGACACAAACUGACGCUGAGGUACGAAAGCGUGGGGAGCAAACAGG